rnacentral:rRNA from 1 species
CGGCGUGCCUAAUACAUGCAAGUCGAACGGCUUUUCUAUGGAAGACUUGCUUCACUGAGAAGAUAGUGGCGAACGGGUGAGUAACAACGUGGGUAACCUGCCCAUAAGAGGGGGGAUAACAUCCGGAAACGGGUGCUAAUACCGCAUAGUUUUCUUGAUCGCAUGAUCGGGAAAGGAAAGACGGCCUUUGUGCUGUCGCUUAUGGAUGGACCCGCGGCGUAUUAGUUAGUUGGUGAGGUAACGGCUCACCAAGACGAUGAUACGUAGCCGACCUGAGAGGGUGAUCGGCCACAUUGGGACUGAGACACGGCCCAAACUCCUACGGGAGGCAGCAGUAGGGAAUCUUCCGCAAUGGACGAAAGUCUGACGGAGCAACGCCGCGUGAGUGAAAGAAGGUUUUCGGAUCGUAAAACUCUGUUGUCAGAGAAGAACAAGUCGGAGAGUAACUGCUCCAGCCUUGACGGUAUCUGACCAGAAAGCCACGGCUAACUACGUGCCAGCCGCCGC